rnacentral:lncRNA from 1 species
UUGCAGUUGAGGUCGUCGAUCAGCAGGAGAUUGAGUCGGUGGAUCUCUCCAGUAUUUGUCGAGGUAGCCUCAUCGAAUCAGAGCUUCUAUCUCAUCCCUGAGCUGAAUACAUUGUUCGGUAUCGUGACCGUGAUCAUGAUGGAACUGACAAUAUUUUUUCGAUCGCGGUUCCUCGGUAAUGCCUUCAUUGAUGGGGGGUGUCAUAGAUAUUUCAUUCAUUCGAUCUCCAUGAGGAUCUAUGCACGA